GAGAACUAAUAUUCCGAUAGUGGAAUGAAGGGGUAACGCCCUGAAACGCCUACCUUAUAAACUGCGAUAUGCGGCAGUCCUCUGUAACAAGGGCUACGGUAUAACGCUCGCUAAAGUCGGCGGAAAUGUACCCAAACAGGUUAUGCCGUGGAAAGCAUCUCAAGCGGUGGGAUGUGUGCAUGAUACGCCGGAGGUCUAAAAA
rfam:Human gut metagenome DNA, contig sequence: F2-V_005633.